rnacentral:lncRNA from 1 species
GAGAUCCAGCGACAGCGAGCGACAGCUAGAGAUCCAGCGACAGCGAGCGAUAGCGAGCGACAGCUAGAGAUCCAGCGACAGCGAGAGAUCGAGCGACAGCGAGCGACAGCUAGAGAUCCAGCGACAGCGAGCGACAGCGACAGAUCCAGCGACAGCAAGCGACAGCGACAGAUCCAGCGACAGAUCCAGGGACAGCGUCACCAUGGACGUCAUUGCGUUGCGUGACGUCGAUAAUGAAUUGAGCUUCAUCAAGUCCCUUGGACAUGGGGGGUUUGGUGUCAUUCUUAUGGCUCAGAAUCUCCACUCUGGCGAGAUUGUGGCUGUGAAAACCAUGCAGAGGAAUCCUGGAGCUGGCAUCUCAGACCCCCUGCGUGAGAUAUGCCUGAUGAAGGAGUGCGACCAUGAAAACGUCAUCAAGUUCCAUGGCGCCUACUGCUCCUUCACAGAGUAAGAAGCAUGGAGGGUGGGGUGGGGCCAGGGUUGGAGUUUUUAUACCUGCAUACAAUGAACAAAUUAGAGCAUCCAGAGCAUCC